rnacentral:rRNA from 1 species
CCUACGGGAGGCAGCAGUGGGGAAUAUUGCACAAUGGGGGAAACCCUGAUGCAGCGACGCCGCGUGAGUGAAGAAGUAUUUCGGUACGUAAAGCUCUAUCAGCAGGGAAGAAAAUGACGGUACCUGACUUAGAAGCCCCGGCUAACUACGUGCCAGCAGCCGCGGUAAGACGUAGGGGGCAAGCGUUAUUCGGAUUCACUGGGUGUAAAGGGAGCGUAGACGGCCAGGGAAGCCUGGAGUGAAAGCCCGGGGCCCAACCCCGGGACUGCUCUGGGAACUGUCCGGCUGGAGUGCGGGAGGGGCAGGCGGAAUUCCUGGUGUAGCGGUGAAAUGCGUAGAUAUCAGGAGGAACACCGGCGGCGAAGGCGGCCUGCUGGACCGCGACUGACGUUGAGGCUCGAAAGCGUGGGGAGCGAACAGGAUUAGAUACCCGGGUAGUC